rnacentral:rRNA from 1 species
CCUACGGGUGGCUGCAGUGGGGAAUAUUGCACAAUGGGCGCAAGCCCGAUGCAGCCAUGCCGCGUGUGUGAAGAAGGCCUUCGGGUUGUAAAGCACUUUCAGCGGGGAGGAAGGCGUUAAGGUUAAUAACCUUGGCGAUUGACGUUACCCGCAGAAGAAGCACCGGCUAACUCCGUGCCAGCAGCCGCGGUAAUACGGAGGGUGCAAGCGUUAAUCGGAAUUACUGGGCGUAAAGCGCACGCAGGCGGUCUGUCAAGUCGGACGUGAAAUCCCCGGGCUCAACCUGGGAACUGCAUUCGAAACUGGCAGGCUAGAGUCUUGUAGAGGGGGGUAGAAUUCCAGGUGUAGCGGUGAAAUGCGUAGAGAUCUGGAGGAAUACCGGUGGCGAAGGCGGCCCCCUGGACAAAGACUGACGCUCAGGUGCGAAAGCGUGGGGAGCAAACAGGAUUAGAUACCCUUGUAGUC